AUUGGUGACGAUAGCAAAGAGGAUACACCUGUUCCCAUCCCGAACACAGAAGUUAAGCUCUUUAACGGCGAAAAUAGUGAAAGCGAAGAUAGCAAGUUGCCAAUU
rnacentral:rRNA from 1 species